ACGCUGAGAUUAAUCUGCUUAAAAGACAGAGAAAGACAAUAAAUAGCCUAUUUAUAAUUUAUACAUAAAGUAAGACAAUUGUUUCGUAGUUUUAAUUAGCUAAUUUACUUGUACUAUUUUUAACCUACUGUUUAAUACCAUACAACACAGAUCUAACCAUAUAAUAUUUUCACCAUACAAAUCAAAUUAAACUCAAAGUUUAUUUUAGACUUUUAACACAAAACUGAAAGGCUUAAAAUAACUUAUAGGAUCAAUAUGCAUUUUUCUGACUAUGUGAGUUAUUUCAUUAUUUUUCUGGGGCCUCAUGUUUUUGUUGAAGGAGUCCAUUGAGAUGUAGCACUGUGAUGCUUUUGACGUCUGGGGUAAAGGAACCACAGUUACUGUUGUACCAGGUGAUUCCCCUCAGACUCCGUCCCUCUUCGUCCUCAGUCCUCUGUCGACUCCCGACUUCCCCCUGAAGACAGCAGACGAGCUCGGUCCAAAUGUCUGUCUGGUCACAGAUUUCCGUCCAAAGGGGGGAGAAGUGGUUCUGAAUGGAAAAGGGGGUCCGGUCAACGUGAGCACUGAUGAUGCCGUUCUGUCGAAGGACAACACCUACAACUUUGCUGCAUUCAGCAACGAAACCAUCUACUCCUGUGGGAUGAACGGGACCUUCGGCAACAAUGAAGCUGAUGAUGAAUGUGGCAGCAUUUAUCCAGAAAAAGCCAAGCUGAACUUCUACCUGCUGCUGAUGAACGGAGUCCGAGUGGUGUUCACCAAAGCUCUGGCCUUCAGCACCGUCCUCACCAUCAGAGGCCUGCUCUUCUGAGA